GAUGAACGCUGGCGGCGUGCUUAACACAUGCAAGUCGAACGAUGAAGCCCAGCUUGCUGGGUGGAUUAGUGGCGAACGGGUGAGUAACACGUGAGUAACCUGCCCUUAACUCUGGGAUAAGCCUGGGAAACUGGGUCUAAUACCGGAUAGGAGCGUCCACCGCAUGGUGGGUGUUGGAAAGAUUUAUCGGUUUUGGAUGGACUCGCGGCCUAUCAGCUUGUUGUUGAGGUAAUGGCUCACCAAGGCAACGACGGGUAGCCGGACUUAGAGGGUGACCGACCACACUGGGACGCAAAGACGGCCCGGACGCCAACGGCAGGCAGCAGUGGGGAAUCUUGAAUAAGGGUAGCAAACCUGAUGCAGCGACGCGGCGUGAGGGAAGACGGCCUUCGGGUUGUAAACCUCUUUCAGUAAGAAAGAAGCCAAAGUGACGGUACCUGCAGAAGAAGCCCCGGCUAACUACGUG
rnacentral:rRNA from 1 species